rnacentral:rRNA from 1 species
CAAGACCUUGCGCUUUUGGAGCGGCCGAUGUCUGAUUAGCUAGUUGGUGAGGUAAAGGCUUACCAAGGCUUCGAUCAGUAGCUGGUCUGAGAGGACGACCAGCCACACUGGGACUGAGACACGGCCCAGACUCCUACGGGAGGCAGCAGUGGGGAAUUUUGGACAAUGGGGGAAACCCUGAUCCAGCCAUGCCGCGUGAGUGGAGAAGGCCUUCGGGUUGUAAAGCUCUUUCAGCCGGAACGAAAAGGUCACGGCUAAUACCCGUGACAAAUGACGGUACCGGAAGAAGAAGCACCGGCUAACUACGUGCCAGCAGCCGCGGUAAUACGUAGGGUGCAAGCGUUAAUCGGAAUUACUGGGCGUAAAGCGUGCGCAGGCGGUUUUGUAAGUCAGAUGUGAAAUCCCCGGGCUUAACCUGGGAACU